UAGCGCGGUGGUCCCACCUGACCCCAUGCCGAACUCAGAAGUGAAACGCCGUAGCGCCGAUGGUAGUGUGGGGCCUCCCCAUGUGAGAGUAGGGA
rnacentral:rRNA from 1 species